GUCAAGUCUCCGCGCGCAAACUUUGGUCGCGGUCGUUGAUUGGCUGGAUGCUGGUUACGCCACUCCGGGACUAGACAGCACGAGCCUGCUUGCUCGCCGUUGAUUGGCUCCGCCCAGGCAACUGGACAAUUUCUGCUUGCCUCCUCGCAUUUUGAAUUUAGGCGCCUGAAGGGGAGGGAGGAUCGGGGGAGAGGGCCUCAGCGUCGCCUCAGGGCGCGAGCAGGGACGCCGCCAGGGGUGAAAAGCCAAGGCGGGGCACCAGCUCAAGGCUCCUCCGUUGCAAUGUAUUGUGCCUCACCAGACUCAGUGGCUUGUUUUCUUGUUCUCACUCUCGUUUCAGGCUCGCGAAGCAGCCCUGAGAGAACGAGCAAGGAGCCCCACGAGAGUCGCGCAUGCUGGAAGGGGGAUGGUUGUGAGGAUCUCUAGAGCUCCCCACACAGCUCUGAGAGGCGACUUCCCCUGGGAAAUAGGGGCUGCCUCAAAAGAGCACCUUGGUGCUUCAGUGGCAACGUGGUAGCCUGUAAAUGUACCCCCAACCCCGUGAGGAGGCUCCUUUGUCUGGACGGUGGUGGCUCCCUAAAAGAGCCUUUACAUCUUUAAUAGCAAUUCUGUGGCUGGCCUUGGGUGUUUCCAGGGUUUUAUUAUGGAUGGCUUUCCACUCCCAUUAUCUCUAUAUGCUGCUUGGAAUAUUGUUUAAAUACAAACUUAUAAUAUUUGUAAAAAGUAAAACUAAAAUAGGCUUUAAAUAGGAUAAAAUCAAAUAAGCAGAGAAUAAAAUCUUGAAUAGGAUAAAAUCUAAAAAACAGUGAGCUAGUGCAGUAUAAUAAAGGAAAUAUAGGUCAUUAAUAUAACCGGGAAAGUUAACAGAAAAGUGUGAAGCAUUCUAAAAGGUUAGGUAUUUUAGAACAACUAGUGUAUUAAAAUAAUAUUCAAAGUAGCAUAUGGAAAUAAUGAAAAAGCGUAUCCAUAAUAAAAGCCUGAAACCCCAGAAAGCAUAGGAUUUAUUCCUCAAAGCAGUCCCUAAGAUGGCUUGGCUGUAGCCCCUCACAGCUAGAUUGGAUGCCCUGACACGUAUUGCUCAGAGCAGCCCACAAAGGAGCUAGAGCAUGACUUUCUUAUAUGGACUCCAUGUUUUUGCUUUGAAUAACCCUUAAUUUAGCUAGAGAAUAGCUUUCUCAUUCUAGACUAUCUCAUUGUUCUACAUGGCCUCAUGAAGUAGCAGUGUGCCUUUCUCCUAGAUUUUACACUUUUGCUCUAAGAAUCCCCUCAUUUAGCUGGUGGGUGUUGAUGUCCAAACCUUUCUGUGUAACCUUACUUUUCAUGCUCUGAAUAGUGGUGAGAUGGCAUAUCUGACUUGCACAGAUGAUCAGCUUGGUCUGCCCUGCCCGUGGAGAAAGCAAGGAUAGUGGAAAUGCAGCAUCCUUGACCUCUUCAAGCAGCGUGGUGUGCUGACCAGGCUUGGCUGGCUGAAGGGACAUGGUGAUGAGGCAAGGGAACAAGUCCUGAAGGCUUAAGAUUUGAGGAGGAAAAGGGGAGAAAAAACAAAGCAAUACAGAAAGAGGAAGAAAAACAAGUAGAAAGGAAAAACAAGAGGAAUCAAAAGGGAAGAGGGUGCCGUUCCUCGCUGCGUGACUUCGCCCUUCAUCUAUCUUGUUAAUGGUGAUGAGUUGGCAUCUCCCAAGUGCCCCGUCCCUAGUCUUCAGCUUGGUGCGCCCUGCCCACGGAGAAAGCCGGGGAGGGUGGAAGCGCGGCAUCCAUGACUUCUUCAAGCAGCGUGGUGUGCCGAGGAGCGGGCCCUGCUGGCUGGCUGAAGAAGGCACACGAAGGCAAUGGGGAGCAAGGACAGAAGAAAGAGGGGCAGAAGGAGGCAGAGAAGCAAGCAGCAAGGCGCCAGAGGAGACGUGAAAAGAAGCAGGAGGAGACCGGCUCUCCAGGAGCUUGGUAGAAGAAACGGGCAGGCUGUGCUCCCACCAGGCGGACGGCUUCAUUUCUCUCUCUCGGCCACUGAUCACUCUGGGUGGGGCUGAUGGCCCUGCAGCGUGGCAUUCCUCGUGCUGGACUUCAUGUCUUUGCACCAGGGAGCCCUGAAAGGGGUGGGAGUGCGGCCUUCUCGGGCCGCCCUGAAUCUCUCUGCAUCACUGAGUCCCUUGCAAUUGGGUGGGAGGUGGCUUGCUCCUGCUGGACCUGAAGUAUGUGCGCUGAGCCGCCCCUGGAUGGGACUGGGGGUAUUGCUUUCUCGCGCCACUGCUUUAUGUAUGUGCGCUGAGCUGCCCCUGGGUAGGCUGGCCUGGGGGUGUUGCUUCCUCACGCCGAGCCUUAGAGGUAUGUGCGCUGAGCCACCCCUCGUCGGGGCUGGGGGCGUUAGCUUUCUCACGCCGAGCUUGAUGCCAUGUGCGCUGAGCCUGCCCCUGGCUGGGCUCAGCUUGGGGGUGUUGCUUCCUCGCGCCGAGCCUUCGGGUAUGUGCGCUGAGCCGCCCCGGGCUGGGGCUGGGAGCGUUGCUUUGUGCUGCCAGGCCUUACGUCUCUGCACUGAGCCGCCCCAGUGAGGGCUGGGGGUGUUGCUUCCUCUCGCCACGAGCUUCACGUCUUUGCUCUGAGAAGCCCCUCAUUUGGCCCGGGGGUGGCUCUCUCCAAGCCUUGCUGCCUGACUUUGCCCUUCCCGCUCUGAGUGGUGUUGAGCUGGCCACUCCGCCCUGCCCACGGAGGAAGCUCGGGACGGGAGAAGUGUGGCCUCCCGGACCUCUUCAAGCAGCAGCCUCUGCUGGCUGAAGGCACACGCCUGACGCUUGGUGUGCUCAUGCUCCUUGGCUUGGGCUCUUGCAUGAGCAGCGCUGGUCCUCCAGAAGGCCUUCUCAAGAGGGAGAAGAGUCAAGAGCUGCAGAAGCUGAUCUCUUGCCUUAGGAGGCAAGGGAGAGAAGGGGCCGAAGGAAGAAGUGCCGCAGGCUGCGAAAGAGAAGCUGCAAGCAAGGAGCAACAGGAGGAGACCUGAACAGGGAAGAAGAAGGCGGAGAAGACUGGCUCUCAAGCAGCUUCACAGAAGCAAGAUGGGGGAGAGUCCGCUUCGACCAGCUGGAGGGCCUCCUUGCUGGCUUUCUCUCUGCUCUGGCUGCUUCAUGAGGCUUAGGAUGUCCCUGCCCUGAGUAGCCUCUGGUUGGGGAGGGGCGUGGACAUAAUAACAGGAUGGACUCGGUGUCCAUAUGCUCAGUGGCCCUUUCUUGAACUGGGCUGCGGCUUUCUCGUGCUGGACUUCAUGUCUUUGCACUGGGGAGCCCUACAACUGUGGGAAGUGUCUCUAUACUGGAGAAGCCCUGAUUUGUCUGAGGUGUGUCUUUCCCGUGCUGGACUUUAUGUCUUUGCACUAGGGAGUCCUACAACUGUGGGAAGUGUCUCUAUACUGGAGAAGCCCUGGUUUGGCUGGGAGCGGCUUUCCCGUGCUGGACUUUAUGUCUUUGCACUAGGGAGUCCUACAACUGUGGGAAGUGUCUAUACUGGAGAAGCCCUGAUUUGUCUGAGGUGUGUCUUUCCCGUGCUGGACUUUAUGUCUUUGCACUAGGGAGUCCUACAACUGUGGGAAGUGUCUCUAUACUGGAGAAGCCCUGAUUUGUCUGAGGUGUGUCUUUCCCGUGCUGGACUUUAUGUCUUUGCACUAGGGAGUCUUACAACUGUGGGAAGUGUCUCUAUACUGGAGAAGCCCUGAUUUGUCUGAGGUGUGUCUUUCCCGUGCUGGACUUUAUGUCUUUGCACUAGGGAGUCCUACAACUGUGGGAAGUGUCUCUAUACUGGAGAAGCCCUGGUUUGGCUGGGAGCGGCUUUCCCGUGCUGGACUUUAUGUCUUUGCACUAGGGAGUCCUACAACUGUGGGAAGUGUCUAUACUGGAGAAGCCCUGAUUUGUCUGAGGUGUGUCUUUCCCGUGCUGGACUUUAUGUCUUUGCACUAGGGAGUCCUACAACUGUGGGAAGUGUCUGUAUACUGGAGAAGCCCUGAUUUGUCUGAGGUGUGUCUUUCCCGUGCUGGACUUUAUGUCUUUGCACUAGGGAGUCCUACAACUGUGGGAAGUGUCUCUAUACUGGAGAAGCCCUGAUUUGGCUGGGAGUGGCUUUCUCGUGCUGGACUUCACGUCUUUGCACGGGGAGCCAUACAAAUAGUGAGAGCGUGGCCCUCGUAGGGGCCGUACAAGGAGUAGCCCCCAUUUCAGCUGAGGUGUGUCCUUCUUGUGCUGGACUUCACGUCUUGGCCCUGGGGAGCCCUACAAUUGUGGAAGCGUGGCCUCUUUUUUAUUCUUAUUAUUUUUACAUUUCUAGCCCGCUCUUCUUCCGAGGAGCCCAAAGCGGUGUACCACAUACCUGAUUUUUUCCUCACAACAACCCUGUGAAGUAGGUUAGGCUGAGAGAGAAGCAACUGGCCCAGAGUCACCCAGCUAGUAUCAUGGCUGAAUGGGGAUUUGGUCUCGAGUCUCCCUGGUCCUAGUAAACUAGGGAACCCCUGAUUUGGCUGUGGUGCCGGUUUCACGUGCUGGACUUCAUGUCUUUGCACUGGGAAGCCCCACAAUUGUAAGAGUAUGGCCAUCGUAGUGACUGUACACUGAGAAGCCCCGAUUUGGCUGAGGAGUGGCUUUCUCAUGCUGGACUUCACGUCCUGGCACUGGGGAGCCCCGAAAAUGCUGAGAGCAUGGCCUUCCCAGGCGAGCCUGAGUGUCUGUAUGCUGCGUGGCUGCUCAUUUCUCUGCAGGGUGCCGGUCGUUCCUCGCUGCGUGACUUCGCCCUUCAUCUAUCUUGUUAAUGGUGAUGAGUUGGCAUCUCCCAAGUGCCCCGUCCCUAGUCUUCAGCUUGGUGCGCCCUGCCCACGGAGAAAGCCGGGGAGGGUGGAAGCGCGGCAUCCAUGACUUCUUCAAGCAGCGUGGUGUGCCGAGGAGCGGGCCCUGCUGGCUGGCUGAAGAAGGCACACGAAGGCAAUGGGGAGCAAGGACAGAAGAAAGAGGGGCAGAAGGAGGCAGAGAAGCAAGCAGCAAGGCGCCAGAGGAGACGUGAAAAGAAGCAGGAGGAGACCGGCUCUCCAGGAGCUUGGCAGAAGAAACGGGCAGGCUGUGCUCCCACCAGGCGGACGGCUUCAUUUCUCUCUCUCGGCCACUGAUCACUCUGGGUGGGGCUGAUGGCCCUGCAGCGUGGCAUCCCUCGUGCUGGACUUCAUGUCUUUGCACCAGGGAGCCCUGAAAGGGGUGGGAGUGCGGCCUUCUCGGGCCGCCCUGAAUCUCUCUGCAUCACGGAGUCCCUUGCAAUUGGGUGGGAGGUGGCUUGCUCCUGCUGGACCUGAAGUAUGUGCGCUGAGCCGCCCCUGGAUGGGACUGGGGGUAUUGCUUUCUCGCGCCACUGCUUUAUGUAUGUGCGCUGAGCUGCCCCUGGGUAGGCUGGCCUGGGGGUGUUGCUUCCUCGCGCCGAGCCUUAGAGGUAUGUGCGCUGAGCCACCCCUCGUCGGGGCUGGGGGCGUUAGCUUUCUCACGCCGAGCUUGAUGCCAUGUGCGCUGAGCCUGCCCCUGGCUGGGCUCAGCUUGGGGGUGUUGCUUCCUCGCGCCGAGCCUUCGGGUAUGUGCGCUGAGCCGCCCCGGGCUGGGGCUGGGAGCGUUGCUUUGUGCUGCCAGGCCUUACGUCUCUGCACUGAGCCGCCCCAGUGAGGGCUGGGGGUGUUGCUUCCUCUCGCCACGAGCUUCACGUCUUUGCUCUGAGAAGCCCCUCAUUUGGCCCGCGGGUGGCUCUCUCCAAGCCUUGCUGCCUGACUUUGCCCUUCCCGCUCUGAGUGGUGUUGAGCUGGCCACUCCGCCCUGCCCACGGAGGAAGCUCGGGACGGGAGAAGUGUGGCCUCCCGGACCUCUUCAAGCAGCAGCCUCUGCUGGCUGAAGGCACACGCCUGACGCUUGGUGUGCUCAUGCUCCUUGGCUUGGGCUCCUGCAUGAGCAGCGCUGGUCCUCCAGAAGGCCUUCUCAAGAGGGAAACGAGUCAAGAGCUGCAGAAGCUGAUCUCUUGCCUUAGGAGGCAAGGGAUAGACGGGGCAGAAGGAAGAAGUGCUGCAGGCAGCGAAAGAGAAGCUGCAAGCAAGGAGCAACAAGAGGAGACCUGAACAGGGAAGAAGGAGGCGGAGAAGACUGGCUCUCAAGCAGCUUCACAGAAGCAAGACGGGGGGAGUCCGCUUCGACCAGCUGGAGGGCCUCCUUGCUGGCUUUCUCUGCUCUGGCUGCCUUCAUGAGGCUUAGGAUCUCCCUGCCCUGAGUAGCCUCUUGUUUGGGAGGGGCGUGGACAUAAUAACAGGAUGGACUCGGUGUCCAUAUGCUCAGUGGCCCUUUCUUGAACUGGGCUGCGGCUUUCUCGUGCUGGACUUCAUGUCUCUGCACUGGGGAGCCAUACAAAUGAUGAGAGUGUGGCCCUCGUAGGGGCCGUACAAGGAGCAGCCCCCAUUUCAGCUGAGGUGUGUCUUUCUCGUGCUGGACUUUAUGUCUUUGCACUGGGGAGCCCUACAAUUGUGGGAAGUGUCUCUAUACUGGAGAAGCCCUGAUUUGUCUGGGGAGCAGCUUUCUCGUGCUGGACUUCAUGUCUCCGCACUGGGGAGCCAUAAAAAUUGUGUGUCCCUCAUAGGAGCAGCCCAUAUUUCAGCUGAGGUGUGUCUUUCCCGUGCUGGACUUUAUGUCAUAGCGCUGGGCAGCCCUAGAGCUGUGGGAGUGUGGCCUGCUUAGUGUCUGUAUGUUGUAGAAACCCUGAUUUGGCUGGGGAGCAUAUUUCUCGUGCUGGACUUCAUGUCUCUGCUCUGGGGAGCCAUAGAAAUAGUGAGAGCGUGGCCCUCGUAGGGGCCGUACAAGGAGCAGCCCCUCUUUUGGCUGUCGUGUGUCUUUCUCGUGCUGGACUUCAUGUCUUUGCACUGUCUUUCUUAGUGGCCAUACAGUGGGCUUUGGGUAUCCCUUUUCCUUUUUGGAUUUUACAUUUUUUUCUUUGUGUUUUACAUUUAAAUGUCUGGGGGAGCUUCAAUCCUGGUUACAUGACUUUGCUCUUCUUUUUCUGAAUGGUGAUGAAGUGGUACCUUCGGCCUGGCGUGGUGCGGCAGUAGAAGUGCGGCAUUUCUGACCUCUUCAAGCCGCGUCGUAUACUGAGCAUGCUCUGCUGGCUGAAAGCACACGAAGAGAACAGGAGAAAGACUGAAGGAACAACUGCGGAACAAGGAGAAAGAACAUCAUAAAGUCCCAACAGGAGCCCUGAAGACUAACUGGAGAAGUGGGAGGAGAAGAUCGGAUAACAAGAAGCAGGAGAGAAGAAACAGGCAGGCUCCCCUCCUCGGAGCUGACUGCCUCCUUCAUGACUGAGUAGCAAUUCUAUCACAUAGAAAUAUCCCCACAUUGCUGUGAGCCUCUUUCAACCCAAGAUGGUGACUGUCUCCAAAGGACUUCAAUUUUUGAUGGCAUCUAAAUAUUGGCACAGCCCCGUGAAGCUGCUUAGCCUGUCAGCUGGUGGGGGUCUCGAAAGAGCGGCAUGCUUGAGGGGCAGUUUUCUGGCAGUUCAGUCUUCAUGCCUGACCCUGUGUCUCGGCUGCUUCCUGCUCUGAGAAAUCCCCAAGGUGCUUGGAGUGUGGUUUUCUUCAUUCCUGGCUUGAUAUCUCUGCUUCAGAUUGCUCAGAGCAGCCACUGAGAUGGCUGGAGAGCCACUGGCCUUGGGUGUGUCCAGGGUUUUAUCCUAGCUGGCUUCUCUGCCCCCCAUUAUUUCUGUAUGCUGCUUGCAAUAUUGUUUAAAUACAAACUUAAAAUACGUUAAAAACUAAAACAAAAAUAGCUGUUGCAUAGGUUAACCUCUAAAAGGAUAGGAUCAAACCUAAAAAGAAUAAACAAGUGUAGUAUAAUAUAAGUAGGAUAACAUCUAAAAGAUUAGGAUAAAAUCUAAAAAGAUUAAACAAGUAUAGUAUAAUAUAAGAAAUACAGAUCUAUUAACUUAAUUAGGAAGGCUAAUAGGAAAUAAAAUGAAGCAUUUUCAAAGUAGAUUAGAUAUUCUAGACCAACUAGUGUAUUAAAAUAAUAUUCAAAGCAGCAUAUGGGAAUGGUGAGAAAAAGCACUUUGCUACUGAAAGUCUGAAAGGCCAGAACACAUCCACCAGUCCCUCAUGUAGCUCUUCCGUGGCUCCGGGUCUCUUCCUACUAAGAUCUUACAGACUAUUCCCCCUUUGAUGCAAAGAUGGGUGCUUGGGCGAUUUGAUGUAGAAAUAAAGAUCAAUAUUGUCUUUAUGUAGCUUUGUUUACUGACAGGCUUAUAGGAUGCUGAAGAUGGUAUUUCUGUCAAGCACCCAGAACUGAUUCUUAUUUCAAGUUGUUUUAAUCUGUGUGUUUUUUGUAAAUGGCCCAGAGACAUGAGUUUUGGGUGGUCCUAACCAAAUAUGCUAAAUAAAAAGCUGUCAGUAUUGUCUGCUAGAAUCAAA